rnacentral:lncRNA from 1 species
CCAGACUGGAUUGGCAGCCUCACAUCACUUUCAAACCUUUCCAUUGAAUGCUGCCCUGAGUUGAGAUCACUACCAGAAGAGAUGCGAUCCCUCCGCCAUCUACACACACUUGAAAUCUAUAGAUGUCCAUACUUAUAUGAAAGAUGCCAAAAGGAAACUGGUGAAGAUUGGCCUAAGAUUUCUCAUAUUCCCGAAAUUAUCAAUCGGGGAUGGUGAAGCAGAUAUGUGAAGCUUGCCUUGUCUCUUUAAUGAAUGCGUCAUCCACAACAAAUUUCGGUAUGCAAUCCAAUUUCUAGUUGUUUGCUGUGCUUUUUGUUAUUUGUUCGCACUUCACCUGUUACAUAAAAUGCUUAGCUUACCAAAAUGCCCUGUUACUCGGUGUUUGCAGUUUACACAUUUGCAUUUUACUGCCGUCGAAAUUGUUGUCAUCUCACUUCUCUCAAAUAUUAUAUAAAUUUCAGAAUAUAAUACUUGAAACUGUUGCAAUACUGAUUAUUUAAUGCUUGGAAUGCCUUCAAAAAUUGCAACCAUCAUGCCCCUAGAUGGCCACCCAAGAAAACUAAAGCUCAGGAAACUCAGCCGGGAAUUUAUAUUAAUCAGAACUAGGCUCUUAUAUGGAUUUGCUUGUAGUGUUUAACAAUGUUUGGGUUAGAACUUAAAGAAGUGUAGCUCCAUAUUCCUUGAUGGACACGUUAAUGUAUUGAGGUCAACCCCCACCACAUGUUGAAUUGAUAGGUAGUGUGAAGAAGACCAUUGAUGUAUAUAGGUGUAGAGUAAGGUGUUUUUUCCAUAGGGACUGCCACAAGCAAUUUAAUUUCUUUUUUUUUUUUUUGAAUGUUGAUUCUUAUAAGAUAGAACCAAAAGCAUAAAAUAAAAUCUAAUGCUUAUUUAGAGUUUUUUUGUAAUAUAAACAAGUGCCUAUCGCAAAGAAAGAACAUAGCAUAUUUUUGUGCAAUUUUAAAUUAUUCAUCGUACUAUGUGUUUCCAAUCCAAUUUGUAUGGUUGUUUUUGCAGGGUUUAUGUUUUGUUAUUUUACAAUUUAUCUAGCUCUUUAGAACCUUAUAGAUUAUGUUUUGCUAAUUUCGAUAUGUAAUGGCAUAUGUGAGGGAAAAGGUUUUUCAAUUUGUUUUCCUUCACUUUGUUGCAUGUCUAUGUUCUUUUACUCAUGAAUACAAUUGGGACUGUAAAUGUCAUGUUCGGUUUUCUUGUAGUUAUUUAGAAUAUUACUUGGGAUGUGCAUAUAAUACUUUCUUAUUAUGGAAGUCUUUGCCCUGGUUAUAAAUUAUGAUUUGAUUUUAUAUUUUUGGAUUGAACAAUGCUUGUAAUUCUUUUCGCUAUUCUAAUUUCUUGAUGAUUCAUUCUAUUAAGCCAACACCCUUUAAUAUUCCUUAAAAAAAUGUUGACAGGUGGAGGAUAACCGAUGCAUAUGGAAUGAGUUAGCUCACUUACAUCACAUUCCCAACCUAUACCCUUUUUAGCAUGUUGUCCAUACUUUGUCUCCACUAUUCAGGUUUAGAAUUGACUCCUCUCCUUUUGCUCUGAAUUGUUUACCCCUUUCAUUCAUUUACUAAAAUUUUUUGUACUUCUAGUCUUCUUAUGAUGUUUUGAUCUUUUUUUUUUUUAACUCUUAUUUGAAGUAGAACAACAAUAUACCACUUGAGCAAGGAAGGAGCACAUAUUAUUGAAUCCAUGUGGUAAGUGGUUAAUUCUCGUCUCUCAAGUUUCUUGAUCGUGGGAAUCUAAAUGCUUUGGGGUGCAUGGAUAACAAUAGCGACAUAUCUCCCUCAUUUUCAUUGAGAGGCAAGUUGGUUUGAGGGGAGUAUAAAAUAAGGAGAACUAGCAGGACCAUUCUUCCCAUUCCUGCCAUGAUGGAGGAAAAGAGAUGGUGGAGGGAUAGUAUCAAUAUCACUAGCAAAACAACAAAUUUGAAGGGAUUACCCAUCAUCAGCAAAGCCAUUAUUCCCAUGUCUGAGGACACUCCAACUUUUUUAUUUGCCCAAUUUGGAGGGAUGGGGAAGGAGGGAUGUAGCAGCAGAGCAAGCUCCUUCAUAUCCUUAUCUUGAGGAUCUACAGCUGGGCAACACCACUGUGGAGCUACGCUUACAUUUGAUCUCUGUCUCUUCUUCAUUGAAGUCUCUGUCUAUUAGACGCAUAAAUGAUCCGAUAUCUCUGCCAGAGGGGCUUCAACAUGUUUCCACCCGACAAACUCUCACAAUUGAAUAUAUCUCUGGUUUGGUCACUUUACCACACUGGAUCGGCCGCCUCACAUCACUUUCAAAGCUUCGCAUUGAACACUGCCAUAAUUUGUUAUUUCUGCCAGCAGAGAUGCGAUCCCUCCGCCAUCUACACACACUCGAAAUUUGUGGUUGUGCACACUUAUAUAGAAGAUACAAAUACAAAACUGGUGAAGUUUCGGCUAUGAUUUCUCAUAUUCCCGAAAUUAUUAUUUCGCGACAUUGAAGCAGGUAUGUGAAGCUUGCCUUGUCUCUUUAAUUGAAUGCGUCAUCCACAAUAAAUUUCAAGUAUGCAAUCCAAUUUCUAGUUGUUUGCUGUGUUUUUCCUUAUUUGUUCGCACUUCACCUGUUCGAUAAAAUGCUUAGGUUACCAAAAUGCCUUGUUACUCGGUGUUUGCAGUUUACAUGUUUGCAUUUUACUGCCGUCGAAAUUGUUGUCAUCUCACUUCUCUCAAAUAUUAUAUAAAUUUCAGAAUAUAAUACUUGAAACUGUUGCAAUACUGAUUAUUUAAUGCUUAUAAUGCCUUCAAAAAUUGCAACCAUCAUGCCUCUAGAUGGCCACCCAAGAAAACUAAAGCUCAGGAAACUCAGCCAGGAAUUUAUAUUAAUCAAAACUAGACUCUUUUAUGGAUAUGCUUGUAGUGUUUAACAAUGUUUGGGUUAGAACUUAAAGAAGUGUCGCUCCAUAUUCCUUGAUGGACACGUUAAUGUAUUGAGGUGAACCCCACCACAUGUUGAAUUGAUUGGUAGUGUGAAGAAGACCAUUGGUGUAUAUAGGUGUAGACUAAGGUGCUUCUUCCGUGGGGACUGCCACAAGCAAUCUAAUUUUAUUUUAUUUUUUUAUGUUGAUUCUUAUAAGAUGGCACCAAAAGCAUAAAAUAAAAUCUAAUGCUUCUUUAGAGUUUUUUGUAAUAUAAACAAGUGUCUAUCGCAAAGAAAGAACAGAGCAUAUUUCUAUGCAAUUUUAAAUUAUUCAUCUUACUAUGUGUUUGCAAUCUAAUUUGUAUGGUUGUUUUUACAGGGUUUAUUUUUUGUUAUUUUACAAUUUAUCUAGCUCUUUAGAACCUUAUAUAUUAUGUUUUGCUAAUUUCGAUAUGUAAUGGCAUAUGUGAGGGAAAAGGUUUUUCAAUUUGUUUUCCUUCACUUUGUUGCAUGCCUAUGUUCUUUUACUCAUGAAUACAAUUGGGACUGUAAAUGUCAUGUUCGGUUUUCUUGUAGUUAUUUAGAAUAUGACUUGGGAUGUGCAUAUAAUACUUUCUUAUUAUGCAAGUCUUUUCCCUAGUUAUAAAUUAUGAUUUAAUUUUAUAUUUUUGGAUUGAAACAAUGCUUGUAAUUCUUUUCACUAGUCCAAUUUCUUGAUGAUUCAUUCUAUUAAGCCAACACCCUUUAAUAUUCCUAAAAAAAAUGUUGAUAGGUUGAGGAUAACCGAUGCAUAUGGAACAAGUUAGCUCACUUACAUCACACUCCCAAUCUAUACUAUUUUUAGCAUGUUGUCCAUACUUUGUCUCCACUAUUUAGGUUUAGAAUUGACUCAUCUCCUUAUGCUUUGGAUUGUUUACCCCUUUCAUUCAUUUACUAAAAAAUGUUGUACUUCGUCUGAUUUUUUUGUUUGAUAUUUUGAUCUUUUUUUUAACUCUCAUUUAAAGUAGAACAACAAUACUCCACUUGAGCAAGGAGCACAUAUUACUGAAUCCAUGUGGCAAGUGGUUAAUUCUCGUCUCUCAAGCUUCUUGAUCAUGGGAAUCUAAAUGCUUUGGGAUGCACGGAUAACAAUAGCGGCAUAUCUCCUUCAUUUUCAUUGAAAGGCAAGUUGGUUUGAGGGGAGUAUAAAACAAGGAGAACUAGCAGGACCAUUCUUCCCAUUCCUGCCAUGAUGGAGGAAAAGAGAUGGUGGAGGGAUAGUAUCAAUAUCACUAGCAAAACAACAGUAACCAACAUUCAUUACUUCUCUGGUUUCCUCAUCUUUUUAUUUUACUUGAGCUGAAAUGCAUGCUGAUAUAUCUAUAUCUUGAUCAGGAUUUAGAUCUAUAUAACAUCUCUUCCACAAGAGGAGCCCUAAGUGCUUACCUCUCUUAAUUUGGUAAGUAUGUUGCAUUAUUGUUUGUUUGUAUAAUUCUAGAUAUCAUUUUUGAAUGAUGAUGAAAAUUUAUGUUUUUCUCUCAUUUUCUCAAAAUUGAUGACAAAUAGAUAAAAGAUUCUUGUGCUCUUUAAUUCUAUCACACCAUACAAACAUAUUUUAGGUUUGCAAAUCUACCUAUAUUCCUUUUCUAUGGGAUUUACUUUUCAUUAUUUUACAAUUUGUCCUUUAAGAAUGUUACACUUUCUUUACAGCUUUAAUUACCAGAGUCUUUGAUGCAUUUCCAAAAACACUCAUAUUAUGCAAGUCCUUUUCAUGGUUAUGAGUCAUGUUUGUAAUUCUUGACUGGAUUUUAUUGGACAAAUUUAUUGCAGAUUCAUUCUAUUGUUGACCAAUACCAAAGGGGUGAUAUUGAGGAUUGGAUGGAUGCUUUUCAACAUUCCAUAAAUAAAUAUUGACAUGUUAUUGGUACCCGAGGCAUAUGGGAAAAGUUAGCCAUUCAAUUCGAUAUUUAAGCUUUGCAUGUUGUCUAUAACAUGUCUUCAUUAUUCAGGUUUAGGACCCAUUCCUCUCUUUUUUGGUUUUGUUGGUUUAUUUUCUGUUAUUUAAUUUGCUAAAAAUUCUUAUACCUUGUCUUAUAGGAAGGGUGAAACAAGGAGAAUUAACAGGAUUAUUCUUCUCAUUUCUGCCAUGAUGGAGAAACUCAAAAAUUAGAGAAACUUAAAACAUAUGUCGAGGUGGUAGUGGCAUUACCAGAUAAACAACAGAAGCUUCAUUCUUGCCAUGUUUUCCUUUUCUUCCUAUUCUCCUUAAGCCGACAUCCAUGCCACUGCAUCUAUAUCUUAAGGAUCCACAGUACCAUCUCCUUCAUUUCCUUUCUCCUUCCUACAUCCAUUGACGUCUAUGCAUAUUGAUGGCGAUAGAGAAUCCAACAUAUGUUCCAAAAAAAGGAUUUUGGUACAUCAUUUCUCUCUUAAAUUUUGACAUGCCAUUGUUUAUUUGUCCAAGUCUAGAUAUUCGAAAUGUAAAUGCUAAUGGUGGUGAAAUCUUAUGUCUUAGGGAAUUUCAGCAAGUUAAAGAUUUUUUAUGUGAAUGUAGGAAUCAAUUCUAAGAACUCGAGAGGUAGCAUCCAAUAUGUAUUCACCUUACUACAGCAAAGAAUCUAACACUUUGGGUAAGUGUUCAUUCUUUAACUUAGGAAAAAUAGAUGGUAAGUCACCUCACUAAGCUUCUUGUUAUUCAUUGUCAAGCUUGAAAUCACUACUAGAGGGAUGUCAAAAGGAAGCAUGUGCAGAUUGAUCCUAUGGCUUAUCAUGUCCCAAGAAUUCAUAUCUACCAGUCUCAAAUAGCUAAUGCACAAAGGACCUAUUCUCUGUUUACAAUUCGGGUGCACUAUCUGCAAUGCUUGUUCUAAGGUUUGCUAUGCCAACUUUUUUUCCUUCUUUUGAUGGCUACUUUAUUUCUUAUUUUACAUUCAAUUUGUUCCAAUUCUUAUUUUAUAAGUUAUGUAUUGUUGGUGCAUAUGGAAUGAGUAAAUUCACUUGCAUCAUUAUGUCUCUAUUAUUCAGGUAUGUCACUCCACUUCCUCUUCCCACCUCAAAACUCUUUAUAGCUUAGUUCUUCACUACAAAUUUCGUAAGAACUAUAAAAGCUCAAAUUCAACUAUUGUAUUUUAGUUGUUCAAAGCAAUAAAACAGCAAACAACAACUAGUUGAGUGAGCGGCUCGUACUACCGACUUGAAGUGCUUGAUUCAAUUUAUUGUUAGGUGCCUAAACAAGCCUUUAUAUAUAAUUCUUAACUGAAAAUGAGUAAUAUGAUGUUUAGUGUGGAUGUCCUCUUCUAUGACACGAGAGUAAUAAUUUCUUGUUGUUUUGCCCUUCUUUUGUUAGGAGGAAUUAUAUUGCCUAUUGCUAAGGGAAGAAGUUGCUAGAAUCUAAUACUGUGAAAGUGUAAAUUUUGGAGUUUCUUUGUAAUUGCAUUGUAAGAUCAUCUAAUCUCUAAGUGAAAAAACUCUUGGCUACAAUUGAAGCAUUCCAUUAUGUACAUAAUGUUGUUAGCUUUAUUGAUUUGGCAGGCUUAUUUCCCAAGUCUUGUAAUCAAGUUGUUGGUUCCAAUAUCGUUGAACAUUCAUGACAUAUAGAUCUUCUAAUUUGCAAGCUCCUAUGACAUCUGUCAAACUCAACAAAGGUUCAUUCGUAUCUCAAAAAUUGUUAUAGAUUCUACUUUUUAUGCAAUAGAUUUCAAAAAAUUAAUUCUUGUAUGAUUUUUUGUAGGAAAAAAGAUUGAGCUACAUAUUUGACCUCAAAGCAGAGAGAGUUAAUCAUUUUGAUGAGGUACAUAUGGUAAGCCUUCAUCAACAACUGUCACAUUGUUCUUUAUGAUAAUUUGUGUUUUCUUUUAGUUCAUUCUUAUACAAUUCCUUUAAUAUCGAAAUUAAAAAACAAAGUACAUAAUUUAUUGAGUUGGCUGUUGUAACAUAUAGUUAUGACAUUAUUCAUGUUCCAAAAUAAUGGAAAGCCAAUCCAAGAUGAUUGAUCUAUAUGUUCAAGAUGCUUGAAAGGAGUGUCAUGAGUCUUUUUAUGGUACCAUUUGCAUAUUAGUGUAAGAGUUAUUAUUCUUAAACUAACUUUUUUCUUCUUUUUUUAUUUUUGCGGAAUUAUAGGUGAGAAUCAAGUUUAAUCGAACUAUCCUUGGGACUGAUUUUUACUGGAAGAUAACCUCAUAUUUCAUAAUGUCAUUCAUUGUUGGCAUACAAAAGCUCAAUCAUUAAACAACUUAUGAAAUAAAAGGGUGGUCGAUUAAGAGAGGAAGAAUGGAUUCAAAAGUUGAUCUCCACUUCCCACGCUUUUGAAGGCUUCAAUCAUGACUCAAAGAACAAGUUGGUUUAUUUAAAGGUUUUGGAAUCUCCUUGCAUGUUGUGGAAGUGUAUUUAGCUUCUAAAUAAAAGUAGAAUUCAAAUCCAGUAUCAACUUUCAAUUACUACAAAUUGCCACUCAAAUCUCCUUACAACCUUUCUAUUAGUUGUUUCUUUAUGCUUCUUCAAUGAUACUAUUAACAUUAUUUUAUGUUACUUUUGAUGGAAUCAUUUUCUAAUAUUUGUCUAUUUGGAUAUUGUAAUUUUUGGAUGAAACAUGAGUUGUUUCUUCUACUCUUCUACUCUAUUGUACUUCAUCUUUCUUACAUGGGCAUGCCCAAGAUUCUUGUGAAUCAUGUAAAUUUAGUGAUUGUUGCUUAUAUUUGAUAUUAAGAUUUGUUUAUAAUUCUUUUUUUAAUAUUUAUUUUAUUUACUUUCUAAUACUUUGUUUUUAUUGGGGGCUUCUCUCAGGUUUGUGAUCAAAGUGAGAUGCAUGAAAUUUUAAAAUCCAAAUUAGGAAAGAAAUCAGUCUUCUAUAAUAUAUAUUGCAAUGAGAAACUAUGUUCUUUAAAGCUUUGGUACAACAUUAUUUUUUUCAAGGAAAAUUUUGAAAUUUUGUGUUUUAGAACUUAUUUUUAGAAAAUGUGAAAAACAUAAUAAAAAUGUUUGGACUAUAAUUCAAGAGGGUUGUAGUUAAUCUAAGUCUAACUUAAUCUCUUUUUUUAAAAAAAAAAAUAGGUUUAUCAAGUUGUCCAGGGUAAAAAUCUACAUUUUUUUUAACUUUAUUUAAUAUAUUUAUAUUAAAAUUAAAAUAAUUAAUGAGACUAUUUCAAGAUAAUAAUUAAAAAAUUAAAAAAUAAAUUUAUAUGUCUUUUUAGAAAAAUGAGAUAAGAGUAAUUACAAUUUAAUAUUUUUUUCCUAUAAAAUUAAAAAAUAAAUCAAAUGAAUAUUAUUAGUGUUGAGUUAUGUAAAACCUAAUUAUACCAUACACUUUCACCAUAACAAUGACCAACCUUCGUGGUGCUAAGGUUAGUGAGUGUGGGGGUUCCAGACAUAAACCCCAAUAGGUUGAGAUUAGGUUGUGGCCACAUGGAAAAUUGUAUAGUAUCAUUAGGUUACACUCAAUUUAAUAAACCUAAUCUUAUUUUUCUAAACUUAGGUUGAAAUUAAAUUAGUUAGAAUAUAUUCAAGGUGGUCGAAUUAAUUAAGUCAUGUAAUUCGUAAUCCAUUCAUAAUGUUUUUUUUCUUAUAUAUUUAUACCAAAAUCUAAAUAGUAAGUUGGAUACAAUUACGAUCCAAUAACAAAAAUGUAAAAAGAAAUUUAUAUAUCCUUAUAAAAAAUUAAAAAGUUAUAUAAUAGAAUUAUAAUUUGAUAUUUUUUUUCUUAAAAAUAAAAAAGAGAAUAAAUAAAAUGAACACUUUUAAUGUAAGAUUAUAUAAAUUAUAAAUAAUAUAAAAUUAUUAAAUUAGAUUCAUCAUCCAAACCUUAGUAUGAGUGUAACUCAAAUUAAGUUCAAAUCGAAAAAAACUUUACCUAAACUCAACAACUUUAAAAAUGAUUAUCUGCACCCGUCUAAAAGUAGGAUUUUUUUAGAGUCCUAUUUCUCUAUUUUUAACUUAAUUUUAUUUUUUUUCAACGGAAUUAUAGAUAAGGAUCAAGUUUAAUCAAACUAUCCUUGGGAUUGGCUUUUACUGGAAAACAACCUCAUACUUCAUAAUGGCAUUCAUUGUUGACACACAAAAGCUUAAUCAUUAAACAAUUUAUGAAAUAAGAGAAUGGUUGAUUAAAAGAUGAAGAAUGGAUUCAAAAAUUGAUCUCCACUUCUGGCACUUUUGGAAGCUUCAAUCAUGCCUCAACGAACCAUUUGGUUUAUUUAAAGCUUUUGGAAUCUCCUUGCAUGUUGUGGAAGUGUAUUUAGCUUCUAAAUAGAAGUAGAAUUCAAAUCCAGUAUCAACUUUCAAUUACUACAAAUUGCCACUCAAAUCUCCUUACAACAUUUCUAUUAGUUGUUCUUUUAUGUUUCUUCAAUGAUACAAUUAGCAUAAUUUUAUGUUACUUUGAUGGAAUCAUUUUCUAAUAUUUGUCUAUUUGGAGAUUGUAAUUUUUGGAUGAAACUUGAAUCUUUUCUUCUAUUCUUCUACUCUAUUGUACUUCAUCUUUCUUACAUGCAUGCCCAAGAUUCUUGAAAAUCAUGUCAAUUUAGUGUUUGUUGUUUGUAUUUGAUAUUAAUAUUUGUUUAAAAUUCUUGUUUUUAAUAUUUAUUUUCUAAUACUUGGUUUGUUUUUGUUUUUAUAAGGGGCUUCUCUCAUGUUUGUGAUCAAAGUGAGAUGUAUGAAUUUGAAAAUCCAAAUUAGAAAAGAAAAUCAAUCUUCUACAAUAUAUAUAGCAAUGAGAAACUAUUUUCUUUAAGGGAGAAUUAUGUUUUGGGGGUAGAUGGACCCCCAAAUUAACAAAAGGUCCAUGUAACUCUUCAAAUUGAGCCCAAGACCCAAUGAAAGUAUGGAAAUUGAGUUGAAGGAUAUCAUCCUUCAGUAUUUCCAAAAAUACCAUUUGUUAAUUUUGAGAAAAAAAAUUAAUAUUUUUUAAAAAUACUUUUAUUUAAUUUAAUAUUUUUUAUUUAAUUUAAUAUUUUUAAAAAAUACUUUUAUGUAAUUUAAUAUUUUUUAAAAUAAUUUUAUUUAAUUUAAUAUUUUUAAAAAAAAAUUUAAUUUAAUAUUUUUGAAAAAAAAUUAUUUAAUUUAAUAUUUUUGAAAACUACUUUUAUUUAAUUUAGUAUUUUUGAAAAAAAAAUUAUUGAAAAAAAAUUAUUUAACUUAAUUUUAUAAAAUAUUUUAUAUGUGUUCUUAAAGGGUAUAUUUGUCCGUUACUAUUUCAUAUCCUUCAACUCAAUUUGAAGAGUUAUAUGGGCAUUUUGUUAAUUUGGAGGUCCAUCUACCCCCAAAAAUAAUUCUCCCUUUCUUUAAAGCUUUGGUACAACACUUUCUUUUUUUUUGGAAAUUUUUUAAAUUUAGUGUUUUAGAACUUAUUUUUAGAAAAUGUAAAAAAACAUAGUAAAAAUGUUAGGGCUAUAAUUUGAUAGGGUUAUAGUCAAUCUAAGUCUAAUUCAAUCGCAUUUUUUUAAAACAAGUUUAUCAAGUUGUUAGCAAUGAAAAUCUACAUUCUUUUUUAACUUUAUUUGAUAUAUUUAUGUUAAAAUUUAAAUAAUUAAUGAGACUAUUUCAAGAUAAUAAUUAAACAUAAAAAAUAAAUUUUUAUAUCUUUCUAGAAAAAUGAAAUAAAGUAAUUAUAAUUUAAUAUUUUUUCCUUAUUAUUAAAUAAAUUAAUUAAUUAAAUAUUAUUAGUGUUGAGUUAUGUGAAGCCUAAUUAUACUACACACUUUUCACCAUAACAAUCGACUGACCUUCAUGGUGUUAAGGUCGACAUGUGUGGGGGUUUGAGGCAUAAGCCCCAAAAGAUUGAGAUUAGGUUGUAAUAGUAGAGAAAAGUUUAUAGUAUGAUUAGGCUCCACAUAAUUUAACAUAAUCUAAUUUUAUUUUUCUAAACUUAGGUUAAGAUUAGAUUGGUUGGAUUAUAUUUGGUUUGGUCAAAUUGAUCGAGUCUUAUAAUUCAUAAUCCAUUAGCAAUGGUUUUUUAUUUAUUAAUUUUUGUUUAUUUAUACCAAAAUAUAAAUUGUAAGUUGGAUACAAUGUCAAAAUAAUAACAAAAAUGUAAAAAUAAAUUUAAAUAUCUUUAUAAAAAAAGGUUAUAUAAUAGAAUUAUAUUUGAUAUUUUUUUCUCAAAAAUAAAAAGAGAGAAUAAAUAAAAUAAAUACUUUUAAUAAUAAAUUAUUAUUAUUAUUAUUAUUAUUAUUAUUAUUAUUAUUACAAACUUAAUUCAAUUGCACUCAACAUGAUUAAGCCUUUUUAUUUUCAUUUUUUAAAAUAAUAAAUCGUUUUCACUUUAAUUUUCAAGCAAAGAUUACAAAAUUUGAACACCAUUAUAAGCAAUUUUUAUUUAACCCUUCAAUAAGAAAGAAAAUUAAUCUAACAAUUUUUAAGAAAGCUUAUUUAUGAACUUCUCAAAUUAAUUUUUAUUAUAUUCUUCUUCCAAUCUAAACCAGCUAAUAGAUGCCCUUUUAUCCAUAUAAUAUUUUACAUGAGAUGUUCUUCUUGAUGCUGAGGAGCAGCAGGGCCAAAGCCAUGAAUUGCAGCAAGGAGGAAUAGCAAGGCAGGUAGGUGACUUUAUUGUGGGUAUUGGGGGGUUUAGGCAAGACCACCCUGAUGCAUGAAAUUUUAAAAUAGAAAUUAGGCAAGAAAAUUUAGUCUCCGGCAAUAUAUAUAGCAAUGAGACACAUAGAUGGUUGUCUGGGGUUUCUGGUUUGUAGAGAGAGAAAGGGAGGUUUAUAGAGAGAGAAGAUCGACUAGGUUGGGGUUUGAAAUUGAAUUUUGGGCAGGAUCCAAAACAGAUGGUAGAGAUUGGAUCCUGGGGAUCUGACAAUGGAGUUUGGAGUUUGAAUUUGUCAUAGGCUAUAACACACUGGCAAUGUUAAAGCCCAAAUUUAAUGGGCUGGGAUAUGUACUUCUCACUUUUGGGCUUUGGUCCAACAGCCCAACUUCUUUUAUUUUUUAAAAAUUAAUUAAAUACGUGAUUAAACAUAUCCUUUUUUUUUUUUAUCUAUUUGAUUAAUGGGAUAUAAUAUAAUUCAUGGUUUGGGAUCUUUGGUGCUUAUCAAAUUUUGUUCUUGGAUUUUUUUUAAAGUGGGACAAGUAAGUACAUACUUUUUACUUGAGGGGUAACUAGCAACUUUUCCAUAAUUAAAUUUUACAUGACUAUAAUAUAUUUAUUGGAAAUAAUUUUUUCUCCCUAAAAUUUUUUAUUUAAUUGCUACAAAAUAAUUUUAAUUAUUGAAAUUAUUUUAUUGUUACUCUAAUUAAAUUACGGUGGGCUUUGGGUUUGGGUUUUGGACAAACCUAAGGCCAACUUAAACCUAAUAUAUAUUUUACAUAAAUUUCAAACUAUACGUAUAUGAUAGUUUUGUUAUUUUGAGUGUCAUAAGGGAAUGAUAAGAAGCUGAGCUUGAAUUGGAUAGCUUGGAUUGGAUUCGACAAAUGAUAAGAAGUCGAGAUUCACUUUCUUUUCCUUUUUCUAAUAUAUUUCUUUCACUUUUCCUUUUUAGUUUUUUUAAUAAAAUUUCAUCCUACCCCACUUUCAAAAAUAAAAAGUUAAAAAAUGACUGGCUUGAGACUGUUCAAAAUCUAAUUUUUUUUUUUUAAAGGUGAGGAAGAUGAGUUAUGCUUUCUUUGUACAAGCCCACUCUUCACGUAGUUCCUUUUAUGAUAUACUAUCUAAUACUUUUUUCAUUAGUUUCCAUCUCCAUUAUCUUAAAAAUUCAAAUACAAAUUAUCAAAUUUACAAAAGGUAUAAACAAUUGUGAAAUAAUAAGAUGUUACCAAUGCUACAACAAUAUCCACAAUGAUAAUACUUCGAGUACUAUAAAUUUAUUAGCUUUAAUUUUUUUGUUCUUUUUAAUUUGUAAAGAAAUGCGGUGAUAUUAUACAAGUCUUUUUGUAAGGUGACUAAGGUUUUUCACACAUGAAACUAUACCAUAAAUGUAUAAACUAUUUAAAUAUAAAAAUUAAGGAUUAUGUUAAGUUCUUGGAUAUUACUAAGAAAUUGACAAAAAAAAAAUAGUUAGAAAAAUGAUUAAUUUUUUUAUAUCUGCAUGUUAUAGAAAAAUAUGAUGAAAACAUAUUAAGAAAAAUAGGAGAAAAUUGCUAAAAGUUUUCCCGACCUUUUUCCUUAUAUAAAGGUGAGUAAAACUUGAUGAAAGUGUAUUUCUUAAAAUUUUAAUUUUUUAUUUUUCUCUCAACUUUUUCAUGAAUAUGUUAUUAACAUAAAAAAAAAUAUAGUAAAAGGAAAAUAUGAUUUUACAAAAUUUAUCCAAAGUAAAAAAAUAAACGAUGCAUAAUAAUUUUCUUUUUUCCUGGCUUUAUUCUUACAAUUUACUUUUGAUGGAAGUAAAUUAUUUUGCGUCAACUCAAAUUCAGCCUUUUCAAAAAGUAAUGGGAAUCCAAUGAAUUUUUUCAAAUUCAUUUUAAUUUAUGACCCACCAUGUGAAGGAGUAAUCAUUUUCUAGGUGAUAGGAUUCCAAAUCAAUUAUUUCAAAUUCACAUUGCUUUAUAGCCCACUUUUUCAAAAGUUGCUAUCAUCAUUUCCUUGCAGGCUCUUUGCCCUGUCUCCCACUAAUUCCUUGGGAAAGAACAAGACUUCUUUCUUCCAAGCAUGCAAAUUCCAAAAUGAUAUUAUCUACUAUUUUAAAUCUAAGAACCCUACCUAUAUAUAUGUGAUGGGAUCCACUACUUUUCAAGCAGGCUCCCAACUUCCAUGGAAACUCUAGGGCCUCUCGACAUCUUUCUAUACAUUUAUUUAUUUUUUAAAACUAUUAUUUUCAUAACAUUGCUUUAAAGAAGUUGUUUUUUUUUCCAUAUUUUUCUAAAAUAAUAGUAAAAAAGUUUUGAUAUACUAUCUAAUACUUUUUUCAUUAGUUUCCAUCUCCACUAUCUUAAAAAUUCAAAUACAAAUUAUCAAAUUUACAAAAGGUAUAAACAAUUGUGAAAUAAUAUGUUACCAAUAUCCACAAUGAUAAUACUUCAAGUACUAUAAAUUUAUUAGCUUUGAUUUUUUUUCUUUUUAAUUUGUAAAUAAAUGUGGUGAUAUUAUACAAGUCUUUUUGUAACGCGACCCCCUUCUCGCGGUUAAGGUAACGACUUCGGGCAUGGCCAGCUCCCAUAGUGUGACGGGCGGUGUGUACAAGGCCCGGGAACGAAUUCACCGUUGUAUGGCUGAUCGACGAUUACUAGCAAUUCCGGCUUCAUGCAGGCGAGUUGCAGCCUGCAAUCCGAACUGAGGACGGGUUUGAAUUCCCGAUAGAAAGAGAUUUCGCGAACGCAAAAGCCUUUAAUGCGGCCCGUCAUCCCUUCCUUUUGGAAAGCUUUCCAUUCUUCCAAGUGAUGAAGCAAGGGAAGGCAGUAGUGGGGAAUUUUCCGCAAUGGGCGAAAGCCUGACGGAGGAAUGCCGCGUGGAGGUAGAAGGCCCACAGGUCGUGAUUAGGAUCAGAAUGACAAAUACAAUAGAUUUUAAACUAUACCAUAAAUGUAUAAACUAUUUAAAUAUAAAAAUUAAGGAUUAUGUUAAGUUCUUGGAUAUUACUAAGAAAUUGACAAAAAAAAUUGUUAGAAAAAUGAUUAAUUUUUUUAUAUCUGCAUGUUAUAGAAAAAUAUGGUGAAAACAUAUUAAGAAAAAUAGGAGAAAAUUGCUAAAAGUUUUCCUGACUUUUUUCCUUAUAUAAAGGUGAGUAAAACUUGAUGAAAGUGUAUUUCUUAAAAUUUUAAUUUUUUAUUUUUCUCUCAACUUUUUCAUGAAUAUGCUAUUAACAUAAAAAAAAAAUAUAGUAAAAGGAAAAUAUGAUUUUACAAAAUUUAUCCAAAGUAAAAAAAUAAACGGUGCAUAACAAUUUUCUUUUUUCUUGGCUUUAUUCUUAUAAUUUACUUUUGAUGGAAGUAAAUUAUUUUGGGUCAACUCAAAUUCAGCCUUUUCAAAAAGUAAUGGGAAUCCAAUGAAUUUUUUCAAAUUCAUUUUAAUUUAUAACCCACCAUGUGAAGGAGUAAUCAUUUUCUAGGUGAUAGGAUUCCAAAUCAAUUAUUUCAAAUUCACAUUGCUUUAUAGCCCACUUUUUCAAAAGUUGCUAUCAUCAUUUCCUUGCAGGCUCUUUGCCCUGUCUCCCACUAAUUCCUUUGGAAAGAACAAGACUUCUUUCUUCCAAGCAUGCAAAUUCCAAAAUGAUAUUAUCUACUAUUUUAAAUCUAAGAACCCUACCUAUAUAUAUGUGAUGGGAUCCACUACUUUUCAAGCAGGCUCCCAACUUCCAUGGAAACUCUAGGGCCUCUCGACAUCUUUUUAUACAUUUAUUUAUUUUUUAAAACUAUUAUUUUCAUAACAUUGCUUUAAAGAAGUUUUUUUUUUUCCAUAUUUUUCUAAAAUAAUAGUAAAAAAGUUUUGAAAAUUAAUUUCCUUUUUCUCACUUUUUUUUCAAUGGAUAUCUAGACAAAAGAAAUUUUUUUUAUAAAUUUUUCUUCUCCUUUUCUUUUAUUUUUAAAAUUUUUUACUUUAUUUUUAUUUUUUUCUAACUUUCUGAAAAUUGUUAUAUAAGCAGCCAAACAAGACUUCUUCCUUCCAAGCACGCAGACCAUAUUCCACAAUAAUAUGAUAUAUUAUAGGAAACUUCUAUGGUGCUGAGGGAGGUACCAUACCUCAGAUUUUUUAUAGUCGUUGGAUGCAAGAGUUUAAAUCUCAGCCAUUGAAAAGAAAAAGAAAAAAAGGAAAAAGGAAAACUGGCUACCUGUUGUCUCCCCCUCUCAGGCCAUUUUCCCGUUUGUUCCCUCUUUCCCGUUUGUUCCCUCUCUUCCCUCAUUUUCUACCUGUUCUCUCCCCCUCUUAGCCCCUCUCUCUUCUCCUCCAUAGUCGAGCGUCUUCUCCUCUAGCUGUGUCUCGUGCUCUCGUCUCCAGCUGUGUCUCGUGCUCUCAUCUCCACACUCCUCCAUAGCCGAGCGUCUUCAGCCCCUCUCUUCUCCUCCAUAGCCGAGCAUCUUCUCCUCCAGCCGUGUCUCGUGCUCUCAUCUCCAGCUGUGUCUCGUGCUCUCAUCCCCACACUCCUCCAUAGGCGGCCGUCUUGUCCUCCAUAGUCGGUUGUGUCCCCGUGCUCUGAUCUCCACUCAUUCUCGACAGCCGAGUCUAGAAAUCCUAUCUUCGGAAGAAACGCAAGAGGCAAAUGCGAGACAAUGAAGAAAUGAGGGAAAGAAAGCACUGAAGAAGGAGAUAGAGACCCCUCUCACGAUUAAUCUUCAGUCGAGUUUCUGUUUUCUCCAUUUUUUAUCGAGUUUGCCGAUAUUUUCCUCUCUUCUCCAUACUCGACUCUUCUCAGGUAUCUCCAUCGACUGUUAUUUUCAGGUGCUUUAAGUUGUCUUUGUGUAUUGUUGGAUGUUUUUGUGUUAUUGGGUGUUUUCGGGUAAGAUAUUGUAGCUGUUCCGGGGGACAUCUUUUUGAGUUCUGGCUUUUUUAGUAUCCCCUUUGAUUAUGUCCAUAUUUAGUUUUCAUAUUUGGGGUUUUUUCGGGUUUUGAAGUAAAGAGUACGAUAUUCCCGCUCCCUCCCUCCUAUCCAUAACCCUUGUAUUUUGUUCAUAUUUUAUAUUUUGUUUAAGGGGUGUUUUUGGCUUUUAAAUUUCCUGGUUUGAAGACCCGAAUUGAAGACAUAGCUGGAAGAAAAAGAAGAAAAAAUGUGAGUAUUGAUAAUGUGUUUUACAAUAUUAUAGCCAUUAUAUUUCAUGCUUUUUGUGAGAUUUAUAGAUUGAUGACAUUAAUGAAAAUAAUGUGGUUAGAUCCAUAAUUGUAGAUUGAAAAAGAUUGAUAUGCUAAAUUUGUGACCAUUUAAAAUGUACAUAGAUUUAGGGAAGAUUUUGUAGUGGUGGUGAAAGUAUGUUUGAUUUAUUAUAUUUGAAAUCAUAUUAUAAAAAUUGACUUAAAUGCUUUGAUUUAAUUUUUAGGAGCGAACGCGAUGGACUUGAAGUUGUUAGAAAUCCAAAGAGGCCUAUCGGCGCUUGGAUACAUUACUAGUAAGGGAAAAUAGAAAUAUGUAAAAUAAUAUGUUUUUUAAUGUAUUUUUUGUGGUUGUUAUUGUUAAAUUUGUUUGAAAUUGUUUUGUAGUAAUGAUCAAUUAGCCAUGAUGAAAGAGAAGGAUAAAGGAGUGAAGAUAAAUGAUGAUGUAAGGAGUAAUUUUGCUAGUCUAAUAUAAUUACAUUUUAAAAUUAGAAUUUAAAUUAUGUGACCAAUUAAUGUAGUUGAGGAAAAAAUUGGGCAAGAAGUGGAAUGCACUUUCAAAAGUAGAAAAAGAAAAUUUCAUGGCAAAGUCCAAAGAAAGUUCAAAACAAUAUUCACUUCAAAAGGGUGUAGUUCCAAAGGUAAUUUUUUUUUGUAAUGAAUAUUUAAUUUCUUUACUUAUGUAUUUGUUGGAAAUUAUAUUAAUGUAAACAUGUUUGAUGUUUGUGUAUCUUUUCAGUUAUAUCUUCAGACUCGAUGCUCCCCCGAGCGAGUUAUUAGAGUGAUUGAAAAUUUAGAACCAAAGCAAAAGGCAGCCAUAGAAGAAAUAGGAUUUGGUAGCCUCUUGCAACUUCGAUGUAGGAAAAUUGAUCAUGGGUUAUGUCUUUGGUUGAUAAAUAGUUUUAAUCCGAACACUUAUAUGUUACAGUUGUAUAAUACUUGUAUCAAAUUAUCCCCCAUUGAUGUUGAAUUCAUUAUGGGAUUGAGGGCAAGAGGGUUCAAGAUUGGCAUGAACAAAGAUGUUGGUCAUAAGAAUGAUUUAUGUAAAAAAUAUUGUGAUAAAAAAGGGCGAUUGCCAUUAGUGAUGUUAGAAAAUCAAAUUAGGGAGGAUAAAGAGGGUGGAAACGAUUUUAAAGUUCGUUUUGUAUUAUUUGUGUUGGGUGCAUUAUUGUGCCCAACAAUGAAGCUUUUUGUGAAUCGCUCUUUCUUACAUCUUGUGGAAGACAUCGAUUAAUUAAAGAAGAUGAAUUGGGCAGAAUUUGUGUUGUCCUAUCUUGUGCACGGGAUUGAAGAGUUUAAGAAGAAACAACAAAGUGGGGUUUACGGUUGCUUAUUGUUUUUAAUGGUAAUUAAUUUACAUCAUAGUGAAUUACGAUUUUGUUUUAAUAUAAUUUAUGAACUAACUAUAUAUCUAUGUCAAAUAUACUCGUAGUUAUUCUACCACGAGCAUAUAUCGUUUGAAGAGAAAUUUCUACCGCUAUAUACUUGACUUUCUCCUCGGAUUACUGCUUGGGGAGAUGAUGAAGUAUUGGACAGGAAACGAAGAUUGAAAAAACUUAGUGGAUAUGCAAAUGAGAAUGUAAGUUAUAGUUUUGAAAGUCGUUUGCUAUUGAUUUAAGUUUUUAGUGAUUUAAAAUCUGAUAUGUAUUAUAUUUUGAUGAAUAUAUUGUAGCUCAAAAUAUGGGUGAUAGAAAAUGAGAUAAGGGAUUGCGUUGAUGGAAAUGCAACGAUAAUGGCGAGUGAGAAUGAGGACGAUGAGAAAUUUGUAUCCAAUCUAAACAAAGAUGUUAUUAAACGAAUAAGUGUUUUACAAUAUUCAUCGUGACUAUCUAUAUUAGCAUUGAACCUUUGUAUUAUGAUGUUAUUAAUCACGUUCGUAUAUAUCACUAGGUUGAUGGUGGGAACUUAAUGGAGAUGGAUAAAACCUUUCAACAAUUAAAGACACAUCUAAUUGAUAUGGCGUAUGGUGCAAGUAGUCGUAGUUGUGAUCAAAUUUUGGCUAAAUUUGAGGAGAAUUAUACUACAGUGAAAGGUCUCUUCCUUAGGUCAAGCGGAAAACCUUUGAGAAUGCACGAGGAAGGAACGAAGAAUGACAUGCUCUCAUGCGAGAGAAGUUUGGAAGAUACGAACAAUAUGAAUGUGAAUGAACAUUAUCUUCACACUUUGUCAAAUGACAAGUUAUGCACCGAGGACUUGAAUGAAAGAAUGAGAUGCAUGUGCUACNNNNNNNNNNNNNNNNNNNNNNNNNNNNNNNNNNNNNNNNNNNNNNNNNNNNNNNNNNNNNNNNNNNNNNNNNNNNNNNNNNNNNNNNNNNNNNNNNNNNNNNNNNNNNNNNNNNNNNNNNAAUACUAAAAAAUUCACAAGGGUACGAAGAAUGUGAGGAAUCCUCACAUUCUUCGUACACUCCCAAAUCUCCAUUUCUUUGGACUUUUUAAAAUUUUUUGGGGCUUCAUAUGGCUUGGAUGUUGCUUGAAUAGGUCCGUUACACUUAGAAGGUGGUCAAAUGAUAUCCGAAAAAAUCGAAAUCCAAAAAUACUAAAAAAUUCCCUCACAUUCUUCGUACCCUCCCAAAUCUCCAUUUAUUUGGACUUUUUAAAAUUUUUUGGUGCUUCAUAUAAUAGGUCCGUUACACUUAGAAGGUGGUCAAAUGAUAUCCGGAAAAAUCAAAAUCCAAAAAUACUAAAAAAUUCACGAGGGUACGAAGAAUGUGAGGAUUCCUCACAUUCUUCGUACCCUCCCAAUCUCCAUUUCUUUGGACUUUUUAAAAUUUUUUGGGGCUUCAUAUGGCUUGGAUGUUGCUUGAAUAGGUCCAUUACACUUAGAAGGUGGUCAAAUGAUAUCCGGAAAAAUCAAAAUCCAAAAAUACUAAAAAAUUCACAAGGGUACGAAGAAUGUGAGGAAUCCUUACAUUCUUCGUACCCUCCCAAAUUUCCACUUCUUUCGACUUUUUAAAAUUUUUUGCGCCAUCAUAUGGCUUGAAUGUUGCUUGAAUAGGUCCGUUACACGUAGAAGGUGGUCAAAUGAUAUCCGUAAAAAUCAAAAUGGAAAAAUACUAAAAAAUUCACAAGGGUACGAAGAAUGUGAGGAAUCCUCACAUUCUUCGUACCCUCCCAAAUCUCCACUUCUUUGGACUUGUUAAAAUUUUUUGGGCCAUCAUAUGGCUUGAAUGUUGCUUGAAUAGGUCCGUUACACUUAGAAGGUGGUCAAUGACAUCCGGAAAAAUCGAAAUCGAAAAUACUAAAAAAUUCACAAGGGUACAAAGAAUGUGAGGAAUCCUCACAUUCUUCGUACCCUCCCAAUCUCNCUUCUUUGGACUUUUAAAUUUUUUGGACAUCAUAUGGUUGGAUGUUGCUUGAAUAGGUCCGUUACACUUAGAAGGUGGUCAAAUGAUAUCCGGAAAAAUCAAAAUCCAAAAAUACUAAAAAAAUUCAAAAGGAUACAAAGAAUGUGAGGAAUCCUCACAUUCUUCAUACCCUCCAAAAUCUCCAUUUCUUUGGACUUUUUAANNNNNNNNNNNNNNNNNNNNNNNNNNNNNNNNNNNNNNNNNNNNNNNNNNNNNNNNNNNNNNNNNNNNNNNNNNNNNNNNNNNNNNNNNNNNNNNNNNNNUCAAAUGAUAUCCGGAAAAAUCGAAAUCCAAAAAUACUAAAAAAUUCACAAGGGUACGAAGAAUGUGAGGAAUCCUCACAUUCUUCGUACCCUCCCAAAUCUCCACUUCUUUGGACUUUUUAAAAUUUCUUGGGCCAUCAUAUGGCUUGGAUGUGUGCUUGAAUAGGUCUGUUACACUUAGAAGGUGGUCAAAUGAUAUCCGGAAAAAUCGAAAUCCAAAAAUACUAAAAAAUUCACAAAGGUACGAAGAAUGUGAGGAAUCCUCACAUUCUUCGUACCCUCCCAAAUCUCCACUUCUUUGGACUUUUUAAAAUUUUUUGGGUCAUCAUAUGGCUUGGAUGUUGCUUGAAUAGGUUGAUUCCACUUAGGCGGUGUUCGAAUAAGUCCCGAAAAAUUAAAAGCUAAAAAUACUAAAAAAUUAGAAAAGGUCCGAAGAAUGUGAGGAUUCCUCACAUUCUUCGUACCGUCCCAAAUCUUCACUUAUUUGAAGUUUUAAAAAUUUUGUUGGACUUCAUAUGCCUUGGAUAUUGUCUAAAUAGGUUGAGUCCACUUAGGUGGUGUUCGAAUGAGUCCUGGUAAAAUUAAAAGCCAAAAAUAUUAAAAAAUUAGAUAAGGUACACAGAAUGUGAGGAAUCCUCACAUUCUUCAUACUCUCCCAAAUCUCCACUUCUUUGAAGUUUUAAAAUUUUUUUGGACUUCAUUUGCCUUGGAUAUUGUUUAAAUAGGUUGAUUCCACUUAGGCGGUGUUUGAAUGAGUCCUGGAAAAAUCCAAAUCCAAAAAUAUUAUAAAAUUGGACGGGGUACGAAGACUGUAAGAAAUCCUCACCAUUUUCCGCUUGUAUGAGGGUGUGAAAUGGAUUCUUCAAAAUUCAAAAUGGAAAUAUACGAAAAAAUAUUGUGAGGCGUUUUGAUUUCCAUAUGGUUAGUAAUUAUACAUUUUUCGUAUUUUCAAUAUUUCAAUUAAUUUUUUUGUGUAAUUCAAUUUAAACGCUAAGAAAUAAUUUGGUCAUAUAUUAUCAAUUAAUAAUUAGUACACAAUUAAUUUAAUAUAAAUUUAAUAUUUAUAUUUUAUAUCAUUUAUUUAUAUUUUUUCUUUUUUUUUCACUUCAUAAACAAAUUAUAUUGCUUUUCACACUUCAAAUAUUUUUCAAAUUUUGUCAACAAAUUAUUUGAUGUUAAAAUAAAGUAUAUUUACUUUUCCUUAAUUUAUAAAUUUUAUCACCAAAUUAGUUUGAAUUUUUUUUAUUUAAAAUUUAAUUUUUAUCUUGGGUUUAAUCACUUUAUAUUACAAAAAAAAAUGCUAUUUAUUUUUUCAAAUUUCUCUUUAUUUUUCUGUUGCACAAAAAAAAUUCCCCAAACAAAAUAAUUACAUUAAACAGGAAUUUAUAAUUGGUUGUUGUAAUGGAUGUAAAAAUGUGUGUUGCAUGGGAUUAAUUCCCAUGGCAACCGGUUACCAACCUGAAGAAUUGGUUUUGUAUAUUAUUUUUCCAUGCCAUGUGUCUUCAUCUUGUGAGUCCAAAAAAGUGGGUAUGGUACCGAAAAACCACUUUUCGGUACCCUAGCAUAACCCUAUAUUAUAUAAGCAAGCAUGCAGACCAUGUUCCACAAUAAUAUCAUAUAUUAUAUAAGCAGCCAAACAAGACUUCUUCCUUCCAAGCAUGCAGACCAUAUUCCGCAAUAAUAUCAUAUAUUAUAUAAGCAGCCAAACAAGACUUCUUCCUUCCAAGCAAGCAAACCAUAUUCGACAAUAAUAGUUAAUAUUAUAUAAGCAUAAGUUCUUCUAUGUUUCCUUCUUCAUUGACGAGGUUGACAUGAUUUUUUAUGUUUUUUGUUGAGAUUGUAAUUUUUAGAUUAAACAUGAAAUGUUUUCUUACAUUCUAUUUACUUUUCUUCACUAUUGGUAGCAAAUUUUAUUUUUCUAUCCCGAUGGAAAUACCUAAUAUUGUUAUGAAUCAUGAAAAAUCAUAUCAAUCUCAUAUUUGUUGUUUGUGCUUGAUAGUAGGAUUUUCUUAAAUUUUGCAUUUUAAAUAUUUUUUUUUGGACUUCCCUCAUGUCUAGUACCCUACUUAAAAAUAAAAUAAAAUAAAAUAAAAAUAAAAAACAAUUAUUAACUUAAAAUUCUUCCAUAUUUAACCAUUUUUAAAAUGCGAGAAUUAAGCAAAUUGAGUAAUAUUCUCUUUGUUAGUUUUUAAGUGCUAAUCAAUUGAAGGUAAUCAUUCGGAAGGGGAGUGAAGUGGGGAUGGUCACUUUUUCAAAAUUUAAUAAUUAUAAAUACACAUAAAAUAUAAAUAAUAAUAUAAUAAAUCAAUAUAAGGAUAAUUUUCAAAUAAAUAAAGUAUGGAGGGGGACAUGCAAAUACUAAUUUUUAUAAUGGUUUAGCGUAACUUGACUUACACUUAUAUUCACCCUCCUCAAAUUCCAACCGAGUGAAUAUUCAACUAAUAAGGCUUCCAACUAAGCCUUCAAACUUAACCCAAUAAGAUAUAAUAUGCAAAGAAAUAUUGAAGUAAUAAUACUAAACAAAUCUCUUUAUAAAGUAGUUAGGAUUUCACAGAUGUACUAUUCGCAAUAAUAUUAUAACAUUGUAGGAAAAAAUUAAGGGAUUUUCAAUAGAUAAUUCUCAAAAACAAAGGUGAUUAAUUGUGUUUACAAGAAAAAAAAAUUAUUAUUUCUCUUCAAAAAUGAGCUUAACAAGGGACCCUUUUUUUUUUUGUCAAAAUUAGAAUAGAGUUUGAACACAUUAUUUGAAUCAACAUCUUUCCAAAAGUCAAGAGUGAUGGAAGGCAAAACCCAUCACUUGGUUGGCUGAUUCUUACCUAAUCAAAUGAACUACUCUUAUACAUUGUUUCUAGAAAGAAGUCUAAGAAAAUGUAUGGCACAAUGCAUGUGAUGGGAUCCACCACUUCUAGAGCAAAGUCUCAACUUCCAUGUGAACUCUAAGACCUCUCAAAAUCUUUUUUUUUUUUAUUAUUAUAUUUUUAAAUUAUUAUUUUCACAACAUUAAUUGCUUUAAUAUUUAAUGUUCCUUUCUCCUCUUUUUCUUUGAUAAUAGUGAAAUAUAUAUAUGAAAGCAUGUCUUCGUCAAUAAUUUAACUUUAGUUUUUCCAUUUUUAUGGAUAUCCAAAUAAUAAAAAAAUUAUGAUUUUUUGUUUCUCUCUUUUUCCCUAUAAUUUUUUAAUUUAUUUUUAUUUUCUCUAACUUUCUGAAAACAAAAUAUAACCUAAAUUUUUAUAUAGUCAAUUUGCAGCUAUGGGCAUAUGUCUUGUUUUAGAGUUUUUUAUGACAAUAUUUAAAUUAGCCUUGAAAUUUGGAAGUUAAUCCUAAAUUUUAGGUUGCGAAAGACCACAUUUUCUAUAAGCCCAACUAAAUAGAAACACAAAAAUAAUUCAUAUAGGUUCACUCAAAUUGAAUAAAACUCAUAUUUAAAAUAAGUUGAAUAAAAAAAACUUAAAUACAAUUGUCAUCACAAUAUUACAAAAAUGAGCUUAACAAGAGACUCUAUUUUUUCUUUUUCAAAAUAAACAAAUUUAAGAAGGAGAUUUAAUGCAUUAUUUGAAUCAACAUGUUACCAAAAAUUAAAAUCAAAAAUAAAAAUACAAAGAAUAAAAAGUUAAGAGUGAUGGUACACAAAACCCCACUAUUUGAUUGGUUGGUUUCUAUCUAAUCAAAUGCAUUAUUGUUGGGAUAAAAGAACCCUACCGGUAUGUGUAACGCCCAAGUUUUCAUUUUAAAGGGUAAUUUAGGAAAUUCUUAAUAAUGAUAUUAAAUUAAUUAAUUAAUUAAUUUAAUAAAAUGGAAGAGGGGUGAAAAGGUAAUUUUACGAAUAAUACCCUAGGUAUAAAUAGAAAAUUAUCUUCUUCCUGUUCUUUUUUGAAUCAUAUUCCUGUUCGCAGAGAAUUUCUAGAGAACGUGAAGUUAAGAUCAGAUUUCAAGGUUUGAAGAACAAACCUCUAUAGGUAAGUUUCUAACCUCUAUAUUAUUAUUUUAGAUUCAUUAGUUAAUUUCAAGCACAUUAGAUAUAUUUUUUUUGGAAAACCCCAAAUCUAGAUUAGGGUUAGAUUAUUUUUUUUUUAAUUCGUUUUAAUAUUAAAUAGUGAAAAUUUAAUAUUUUGAUUUAUUAUUGGAAUUGGGGAGAUCUUAAGUUUUUUUUUAUUAGAAAAAAAGAAAAUUCCUAUGAAAAUUUCGAUUUAGAUUAGGGUUAGUUUAUUAUUAUUAUUAUUAUUAUUAUUUCGUUUUAAUAUCAAAAUAGUAAAAAUUUAAGAUUUUGAUUUAUUAUUGGAAAUUGGAAAUUCUUAAGCUUUUAGAAAAAAAAAAAAAAAAACCUGGAAGAUGCGUGUGCACACUGUAGAAUUGGAGAAUGGUUUAAGGAUUAAAAGAAAAAAAUAGAGGACGCGUGUGCUCACUGGAAUUGGAGAAUGAAAAAAAAAUAAUAUAUUAUAUAUAUGGGUGUGGGUGUGUGUACGGAUGGAGGGAUGGGUGGUGUUUGGUAGUUAAUGUACAUAUAUGUAUAUAUAUUAUUAUAUUGACAAUGGAUAAAGUUUAUGUUUAAAAAAAAAAAAAAAGAGAAUAGAAGUUUUAAAUAAAAGAAAGUAAAGUUUUUUUUGGUAUUAUAAUUAUACUAAUAAUGAGUAUAAGUUAAUAAAUAACAUAGAAAUUAAUUAGUGAAAUAAAUUAUAGUUUAAUUAAAUUAAGUUGUGUCCCAAAAAAAAAAAAAAUUAAUUUGAAUACCUAAAAUUUUAGGAUUGACAAACCUGUAAUUUUAGAUAAAUAGUAAUGGUUAUUUCUCUUAUAUUUGUUAGGUGAAGAGUAGAUUUUCAGGAUUAUUUUUCUCCAAAGUUUUUGAGGACUUCUUUUGAGGUAAGGGAAGUUAAUGUAAUAUUUAUAAAAUUAAAUUAUUUCAUAUGUUAUUUUGAAUUGUGGAAAAUAAAAUGAUAUUUUGUUACCAUGCAUGGAUCAAAUUGUUUUGCACUAAAUGUUAUGUUGGAAUAUUUUGUUUUAUUUAUGACACAAAAUAUGGAGAUAUUAUGUUGUGUAAAUUUGAAUACUUGAACAAAAACAUCACUCUGGUUUAUUUGGCCCUUGUCAACGGGAUAUAAUAAUUGACUAUUUGGCCCUAUCAACGGGAUAUAAUAAUUGACCUUUACAUUUCAUGGUGGGAAUGUAAUUGAUUUGGACCCCAGCCUCUAGGGGUUUGGUUAGAGGUUACUAGUACUAGUAGCGUUUGGUUCCGUCCACCAGGAACAAUUUGAGGCUAGCCACCCAUUUGAAAAGUCCCACCUAACUGGGCAUUUGAUAUUUGAUAACCAGAGUAAUGAAACUUGAAUGAAUUUGAUUGAAUCUUAUGUGAAAGUGUUUGAAUUUGAUAUGAAAUUGGUUGGUUGAAUUUUGAAUAUAUUGGUAUUUUUGGAACUCUGAUAUUUGAUAAGAAAAAAAAAAUUUAUAUCUCCUAUUUGAAAUGAAAAUAUUUGAUCCAUGAAUUGCAUUAAUAUUCCUUAUUGGGCUGUGAGCUCAUUCCCAAUUGUUGAAAAUUUUCAGGUACUCUUAGUUCGGGUGAGGAGUGAUGGCUAGGCUGAAGAAUGGUCAUCAUUAGGAUUUGACUUAGGAUUUUAUGUUGGAUUUUGUUUAACUGUUAGUUAUGUUCAUUUGGAUCAUUUGAUAUUUGAAAGUUAUUUGGAAAUUGAAUUUUGAGGAAUUUAGAUUUUGUUCCGCUACUCUGAACAAGUAUUUGGUAAUUGGUAACAUCUAGUUACAAUAUGAUUGUUCGGGUCAGAUUAUACUUUAAGCCUUCGGGUUUGAGGUGUGAAAUGACCGUCACGCCCUUGGAGUGGGUCUUGGGGCGUGACAGUAUGUGAUGGGAUCCACUACUUUUGGAGUGAACUCCUGUAAACUCUGGCUGCUCAACAUUUCUUUAUCCUUAUUUUAAAAAAUUUAACUAUUAUUUUCACAACAUUGCUUGAAGGAAGUUGUUUUUUUUCAUAUUUUUCUUAGAUAAUAAUAAAAAAGUUUGGAAAAAGUUCCUUCCUCAAUAGUUCAUUUUUCUUUAAUUUUCUCAUUUUUCCUUUUCAUUAUUUAAUUUUGAUGAAAACAAAAUGAUAGCAUCCAUCGGAACACCAUUUUUAUGUCUAUUUGUCUUAGGGUAAGUGCUAUUGCAUUUCUAUGUAUAUUUGGUUUUAUUUCAUAUGACUCAAUUUACAUAAAACCUAUAGUUAAAAUAAGUUGACCAGAAAAAAAGGGGGUAAACACAAUUGCUAUCAUGAUAUUACAAAAAUAAAGUUUAACAAGUGACCUUAUUUUUUCUUUGUCAAAUUAAGAAAAGAUAUUUAGUGUAUUAUUUGAACUAAUCAAAUGCAUUAUUGUUAGGACAAAAGAACCCUAUAUGUGAUGGGAUCCACUACUUUUUGAGCUGACUCCCAACUUCCAUGUAAAGUCUAGGGCCUCUCGACAUUUUUUUAUGCAUUCACUUGUUUUUAUUUUUGUUUUUAUUUUUAACUAUUAUUUUCACAACAUUGCUGUAAAGAAGUUGUUUUUCUUUUCAUAUUUUUCUUAGAUAAUAGUAAAAAAGUUUGAAAAAAGUGGCUUCUUCAACAGCUUAAUUUUUUUUUUCUCACAUUUUCAAUGGAUAUCUAGACCAAAGAAAUUCUUUUAUAAAUUUUUCUUCUCAUUUUCUUUUAUCUUUUAUCUUUUUUAACAUUUUUUUUCAACCUUUUAAAAACUAAAUAUAACCUAAAGAAAAUAAUAAUAAAUAUAAAAACAAAUACAUAAGGAAAGACUUUUAACAUAAUUUUUUAUUAUAAAAAUCAUUGAAGUGCACAAAUAAACCUAUAUAUAAAUGAUUGGGAAGCUGGAAUCCUUUGUUCUCAAGAAUCUUUAAUGAUUGGGAAAUGGAAGAGGUGGAGGGCUUGCUUCAAAAAAUACACCCUCUGGUUUUGCAUAGUGAUGUGGAGGAUGUUUUAAGCUGGAAGAUUGGUAAGAAUGACUCUUUCUCUGUUAGAUCUUGAAAAUGUGAAUCUCAAUAAUGAACUACACCUAGAGGGGGGUGAAUAGGUGUUGUAGAACAAUUUUAAAAUUCUCCCAAUAAAGAUUACCUAACCUUAAUAAAACAUCCACAAGCAACAAUGUAUGCAUCAACACUCUCCCAACAAUUUAUAAAUGCAAAACACAUGCAAAUGCUUCAACACUCCUCAAAAAUAAAACAAAAUAUAGAGUGAGAGAAAGAGACACCAGAUUUUUAACGUGGAAAACCUCCGAAGAGAUCAAAAACCACGGGCCUAUCACCGAUUGAAAACUCCACUAUGAAGAAUAAAAAACUGAGUACAAGGUUUUACCUAGCUCAAGCCAACCAAUCCUUCCCGGAAUACUUGACUAGUACCUUCAUUUUCAGCUUCUCCUUUUGGAGCACACUUGGAGUCCGCACCAAGCUCAAUCUCGGCCUCUUCUUGAAUCCACACAAGAAGAAAAUGGGUUUUUGCACAACCCAAAUAGAAUGAGAGAUUUAGAUGUGAAUGAAAGAAUGAAUCAACCCAUUUAUUGCUCAAGAAAAUCCAUUGAAAACAAGUUUUGAAAACAUUAAGAGAAGUUGAUUUUCUUUGCAAUCAAAAACCCCAACUUAGGAAAGCAAAAAUGAGAAAUGAAGAACACUUGGGAGUGUGGCUGCUCUCCCCACGUUUUCAGCAGUCUCUCUACACAGAAAAUGAGAGAAGAUUGGGUUUUAAAGUGUAAAAAGAAACCCUUAAUCUAAUGGCUGAGAUUUGAUCAAAAAAACAUUAGUUGGAUAGAUCCACCCCUACACCUGGAUCGAUCCAGAAACAGAGGAAUAAAAGCCUUGCACCAAAAACCAUUUUUUCCAACUUUCUAACACAUUUUAAAGAUUAAAAACCGGGUUGAUUCACACCCAAUCACUCCACACUCGACUACAUACCUUGGCCUCUUAGCAAAGUCUUAGUCUUCAAAGUCAAGUAGUCCGAAUAGGAAUAGGAAAGCCGAGUUAGGGGACACUUAGGAAUUUUGUCCGGAAUUGCCAACCUAGCUAAACACUCACAGAUCUCUCUACCAAUCCCUCACAACUACCUCUAGUGAACCUUUUCCUUGGAGCAUCAUUUGGAGAUCUUGGGCACCCGUGAGAGUUAGUUUUUUUGCUUGGGAAGCGUCUUGGAACCGAAUUUUGACCACUGAUCAGCUUAAAAGAAGGGGCUGGAUACUAUCAAAUAGAUGUUAUUUGUGUAAAAUGGAAGAGGAAACUAGCGACCACUUGUUCCUAUUCUGCAAGAAGGCUAUAAUGUUAUGGAGCUUGCUUUUCUCCCUUUUUGACGUGCAGUGGGUCCUACAUUCCUCAAUCAAAAGGAAUUUGAUAGCUUGACAUGGUGCUUCUAUGAGCAAGGGAAAGGAAAAAGCUUGGAGGGUUGCUCCCCUUUGUUUAAUGUGGAUAUUAUGGAGGGAGAGAAAUGAAAGAGUGUUCAAUAACAAUGAACGUACCGACCAAGCUCUAAAACUCUCUUUUUUGUACACUUUUGUGAAUUGGGGUAGGGUAUAUUUAGAGAAUCAUUCUUUGUCAUUGUUUGACUUUAUAGAAUGACUUUUGUCUAGAUAAAAUAAAGGUUUUUCUUUUUGGCUUAAAUCCUUGGGCGUUACUUGUAUACUUCGUGUCUACUCUUUUCGCCUUUCUAGGCUUUUAUAAUACAUCCUCUUAUUUGCCUAUAAAAAAAAAACACCUAUAUAUAAAUGAACUUUCAUUGUUUUAAACGUUAAUUAUUAUUGAUAUAACAAAAUGUAGUAUAAAGAAAAUAUAAUUUUACAAAAUUUAUCCAUUAAUCCAAAUGAAUAAGAAUUAAAUGGUGUAAAACAAUUUUCUAUUUUUGAUUAUUUUAUUUUAUUUUAUCUCAUUAUUAAAUUUUGAUGGUAGAAAAAUGGUGGCAUCCAAGAGAACACUAUUUCUAUGUCUAUUUGUUUUACGGUAAGUAAGUGUUAUUAGUGCAUUCCAAAUAAAAUAUAAAAAAAUUUAAUAAUGUUUAUUGCUAGAUUUAAAUUUGACAUAACCAAUAUGCAGUUAUAAACAUAUCUUUAUUGUUUUAGAACUUUUUAACCUUGAAAUUUUGAAUUUAUCCUAAAUUUUACAUGGGGUAAGACUAUAUUUUCAUAAGCUCAAUUAAAUAAAUGCACCAAAAUUUUUUGUUUGAGGUUAACUCAAAUUCAACUAUUUAAAGAAGUAACGGCAAUUCAAAUAAUUUUUUCCAAAUUCAUUUUAAUUUAUAACCCACCUUCUAAAGGAGUUCUCGAUUUCUACCAAUUACUUCAAAUUUACCUUAUUUUAUAUCCCAUAUUUUCAGAAGUCAAUUUACUUCCAACCACACAGAUCCCACGAUAAUAUUAUAUGUCAUCUUAAAUCCAUAUCCAUUUGAUUGGUAGGAUAUUAUCUCUUCAUUUUUAUUUUUUUUUUAAGUUGACGUUGACUCAAGUCAAUCCCCUCUCUCCAUAUAUAGAUGUAUCAGUCUGAGAUCACUUACAGCCUUCUGAUCGUCUCUCAUCGUCUCUCUAGCUACACUUCCGUUCCAUCUACUUUCCAUCCUCUGCAGUAUUAUUUUCUUUGCUAUUUCAAAUAUGGCUGAACAAAUUCCAUUCGGUAUUGCUGAGAACCUUUUGAUGAAGCUGGGCUCUGCUGUUUUCCAUGAAAUUGGAUUAAUGUAUGGUGUCCGAGGUGAGCUGAGUAAGCUUAAGGAGAAACUGUCCACCGUCGGAGCUGUGCUUCUUGAUGCUGAGGAGAAGCAGGAGAGCAGCUGCGCAGUAGCAGAUUGGGUCAGGAGGCUUAAAGAUGUUGUGUAUGAUGCUGAUGACUUGUUGGACGACUUUGCAACCGAAGACUUGAGGAGAAAGACUGAUGAUCGUGGAAGAUUUGCGGCACAAGUGAGUGACUUCUUCUCACCUUCGAAUCAACUUGCUUUUCGAUUUAAGAUGGCUCAUGGAAUAAAGGCUAUUAGAGAAAGGCUAGAUGAUAUUGCAAAUGAUAUCUCCAAGUUCAAUUUAAUUUCCAGAGUUAUGUCUGAUGUCCGGGUAAGGAAUAAUGGGAGGGAGACGUGCUCUGUUGUGGAGAAAUCUCAUAAAAUUGUGGGUAGAGAAGAAAACAAAAGGGAGAUAAUAGAGUUGUUGAUGCAAUCAAGUACUCAAGAAAAUCUGUCAAUGGUUGUGAUUGUAGGCAUGGGGGGCUUAGGCAAGACCACCCUUGCUCAGUUGGUAUACAACGACCAAGGGGUGGUAAGCUAUUUUAAUCUUAGCAUGUGGGUCUGUGUUUCCGUUGAUUUCGAUGUUGAAGUACUCGUUAAAAACAUCUUAAUGUCUGCGACUAAUGAAGAUGUGGGAAACCUACGCUUAGAACAAUUGCAAAAACGUCUGCAAGAAAAGUUAGAUGGGAAGAGGUACUUGCUUGUGUUAGAUGAUGUCUGGAACGAGGACAAAAGGAAAUGGGGUCAGUUCAUAACCUUAUUGCCUGUUGGUGCAAAUGGGAGUAAAAUCUUGGUGACCACUCGAAGCACAAGAGUUGCAUCAGUUAUAGGAAUUGAUUCCCCAUAUAUUGUGGAAGGUCUUAAAGAUGACGAGUCUUGGGAUUUGUUUGAAAGUCUUGCAUUUAAAAAGGCAGAAGAGCAAAUGCACCCAAACCUUGUAGCCAUAGGAAAAGAUAUUGUAAAGAUGUGCAAAGGAGUUCCUCUUAUCAUCGAGACUUUAGGCAGAAUGUUGUACUUCAAAACCCAAGAAAGCCAUUGGUUGAGCAUUAAAAAAAAUAAAAAUCUUGUACAUCUUGGAGAAAAAAAUGAUAUUUUACCGAUAUUGAGGUUAAGCUAUGACAAUCUCCCCGUCCAUUUGAAACAAUGUUUUGCCUAUUGUGCAUUGUUUCCCAAAGAUUAUAUAAUUAAAAAAAAGUUGUUAGUACAACUAUGGAUGGCACAAGGUUACCUUCAACCAUAUGAUGAGAAUAUAGAUUUAGAGGAUGUUGGUAAUCAAUAUUUUGAAGAUUUAUUGUCAAGGUCAUUGUUUCAAAAAGUUGAAAAUAAAUAUGAUAACAAUAUGUUAAGUUAUAAAGUGCAUGACUUAAUUCAUGAUCUUGCACAAUCCAUUGUAAAUUCGGAGGUUAUCAUUGUUACUGAUGAUGUGAAGAUCAUUUCACAAAGAAUUCAUCAUGUGUCAUUAUUUACAAAACACAAUGAAAUGCUCAAGGGUUUAAUGGGCAAAUCCAUCAGGACUUUCUUUAUGGACGCCGGCUUUGUGGAUGAUCAUGAUAGUUCUAUAACUAGACUCCUUUCAAGCUUAAAAGGUUUGCGGGUAAUGAAGAUGAGUUUCUUCUUACGACAUAAGGCUCUGUCAUCUUUAGGAAAACUAAGUCAUCUAAGAUAUCUUGAUCUUUCUUAUGGGUGGUUUGAAAACCUCCCAAAUGCUAUUACAAGAUUGAAGCAUUUACAGACAUUGACGCUUUUCAAUUGUAUACGUCUAAAAGAAUUGCCGAGAAAUAUGAAAAAAUUGAUCAACCUGAGGCAUCUUGAGAUUGAUGAAGUAAAUAAAUUAAGUUAUAUGCCACGUGGUUUGGGAGAUUUGACUAAUCUUCAAACCUUGCCAUUAUUCUGGGUAAGGAAUGAUGGUGGGGAAUCCAGGCACAAGAGAAUGGGUAGGUUGAAUGAACUGAGAUUCCUUAACAAUCUCAGAGGACAACUACAAAUUAAAAGGCUUUCAAAUGCAAGGGGCAGUGAAGCUAAGGAAGCCAUGUUGGAGGGUAAACAGUACCUUGAGUGCUUGAGAUUAGAUUGGUGGAAACUACCAGCUACCCAGGAGAGUGAGGAGGCAAUGUUAGUAAUGGAAUGCCUGCAACCACAUCCAAAUCUGAAGGAGCUCUUCAUAGUUGAUUACCCAGGUGUGAGAUUCCCAAAUUGGAUGAUGAAUGAUGGGUUGGAUUUGCUGCUCCCAAACCUAGUCAAAAUACAAAUAUCGUCUUGCGACAGAAGCAAAGUUCUGCCACCUUUUGCACAACUCCCUUCUCUUAAAUAUCUAGAACUUUCCAAUCUAAUAGCUGUGGAGUGCAUGAUGGAUUACCCUUCAUCAGCAAAGCCAUUCUUCCCAUCUCUGAAGACACUCCAACUUUCUGAUUUGCCUAAUUUGAAGGGAUGGGGAAUGAGGGAUGUAGCAGCAGAGCAAGCUCCUUCAUAUCCUUAUCUUGAGGAUCUACGGCUGGACAACACCACUGUGGAGCUAUGCUUACAUUUGAUCUCUGUCUCUUCUUCAUUGAAGUCUGUGUCUAUUAGACGCAUAAAUGAUCUGAUAUCUCUGCCAGAGGGGCUUCAACAUGUUUCCACCCUACAAACUCUCACAAUUAGGGGUUGCUCUAGUUUGGCAACUUUACCAGACUGGAUCGGCCGCCUCACAUCACUUUCAGAGCUUUGCAUUGAAAAGUGCCCUAAUUUAACAUCACUGCCAGAAGAGAUGCGAUCCCUCCGCCAUCUACACACACUUAAAAUCAAUGGAUGUCCAUACUUAUAUGAAAGAUGCCAAAAGGAAACUGGUGAAGAUUGGCCUACGAUUUCUCAUAUUCCCGAAAUUAUCAUUCGGCGAUGGUGAAGCAGAUAUGUGAAGCUUGCCUUGUCUCUUUAAUGAAUGCGUCAUCCACAAUAAAUUUC